rnacentral:tRNA from 1 species
ACCUGGCUGGCUCACUUGGUAGAGCGUGUGACUCUUGAUCUCGGGGUCGUAAGUUCGAGCCCCACGUUGGGCA